rnacentral:rRNA from 1 species
AAUCAGUUAUAGUUUAUUUGAUAGUACCUUCUACCUGGAUAACCGUGGUAAUUCUAGAGCUAAUACAUGCUAAAAACCUCGACUCACGAAGAGGUGUAUUUAUUAGAUAAAAAACCAAUGCCCUCCGGGGCUCAGUGGUGAUUCAUGAUAACUUAACGAAUCGCAUGGCCUUGCGCCGGCGAUGGUUCAUUCAAAUUUCUGCCCUAUCAACUUUCGAUGGUAGGAUAGUGGCCUACCAUGGUUUCAACGGGUAACGGGGAAUUAGGGUUCGAUUCCGGAGAGGGAGCCUGAGAAACGGCUACCACAUCCAAGGAAGGCAGCAGGCGCGCAAAUUACCCAAUUCUGAUACAGAGAGGUAGUGACGAUAAAUACCGAUACAGGGCUCUUUCGGGUCUUGUAAUUGGAAUGAGUACAAUCUAAACCCCUUAACGAGGAACAAUUGGAGGGCAAGUCUGGUGCCAGCAGCCGCGGUAAUUCCAGCUCCAAUAGCGUAUAUUAAAGUUGUUGCAGUUAAAAAGCUCGUAGUUGAACCUUGGGCCUGGCCGAUCUGUCUUCCUAACCGUUGUACGGAUUCGGUCGGGCCUUUCCUUCUGGGGAGCCCCAUGUCCUUCACUGGGCGUGGUGGGGAACCAGGACUUUUACCUUGAAAAAAUUAGAGUGUUCAAAGCAGGCCUUUGCUCGAAUACAUUAGCAUGGAAUAAUGGAAUAGGACAGCAGUUCUAUUUUGUUGGUUUCUAGGACCGCUGUAAUGAUUAAUAGGGAUAGUCGGGGGCGUCAGUAUUCAAUUGUCAGAGGUGAAAUUCUUGGAUUUAUUGAAGACUAACUAUUGCGAAAGCAUUCGCCAAGGAUGUUUUCAUUAAUCAGUGAACGAAAGUUAGGGGAUCGAAGACGAUCAGAUACCGUCGUAGUCUUAACCAUAAACUAUGCCGACUAGGGAUUGGACGGUGUUUCUUUUAUGACCCGUUCAGCACCUUACGAGAAAUCAAAGUUUUUGGGCUCUGGGGGGAGUAUGGUCGCA